CUGAGGUCGAUCUCUAGUGCCGGUGAUGGUAUUUGUUUGUAUGCAGGCAAAAAGAUUCCUCUCACAAGCUCUGGAUUGAUUUGAGUUGGUCCAAACAACAGACGAGAAGUGGCGAUCACAGAUCCAUUACUGCAAGACAAACAAUAGGAUAGAGAGUCAUACAAGGAAUGAAACGACAUCAGGCAGGUUGAGUCAACAUCAACUAAUGUUCUGGACUCUGGAAAAAGUGGCUCUUUAUCAGAGUGAACAGUCUUUUUAUUGU